UACAGAGGGUGCGAGCGUUGUCCGGAAUCACUGGGCGUAAAGGGCGCGUAGGCGGCGCGGUAAGCGUGCGGUGAAAGCCCGGGGCUCAACCCCGGGUCGGCCGUGCGGACUGCCGGGCUGGAGCACUGUAGAGGCAGGUGUAAUUCCGGGUGUAGCGGUGGAAUGCGUAGAGAUCCGGAAGAACACCGGUGGCGAAGGCGGCCUGCUGGGCAGUAGCUGACGCUGAAGCGCGACAGCGUGGGGAGCAAACAGG
rnacentral:rRNA from 1 species